GGUGAGGUCUCCGCAGCACCGCAUAGUGCUGAAGAUCAACAGCUUUGGCGGAGCAGCUGGAGCCCAUGCCAAGCCCGCUAGCCUAGACAUCCAGCGAAUAACCUGCGCAGGCUUCCAGGCUGAAAAUGGUCCCUCCAGAAGCCAAAGACCAUCUAAUACAAGCACAAGAAGACCUCUUUUGAGUCAUUGGUCGUGGUUGUCCGAGAGACUCCCAAACAUUAGCUUUCGCUAUUGUUCUUACUUGACCUUGGGAGGUGGAAGAUAAAUCUCCAUUGCUGAAGGCAUCAUGCACUUUAGAGGCACCUGAGCUGGAACUGACCUGAAUGUCUUCUCACAGAGAACUAACUUCCAUGGUACCAGAAGACACCGUGCAAGCUUCCAAAGGAGGGAAGAGCUAACAGUCUUACCUGUGCAUGACACCUAUGGGGGACAUCAAUGAUCAGCAUGUCACCAUGACCCUAAGGCUGCAGUAGUGGCACACACGCCUUGGUGGUGACCAGUAGCUCUCUAAAAUAUAUUUUUAAUUGAAAUGGAAUCAUGUCACUUUCUCACCUCCAGCCUCUCUCCUACUACUGUCCCUCUAAACUUUCCCAUGUUGCCAAAACUCAAAUUGACACCUUUUCUUCUGAUGAUGUUGUUACAUAGAUACAUACAUAUGUGUGCAUGUGUAUGCAAAAUAUACAAAUACAACCU